UGUGAUUUGGAGAGAAAGCGAGGGGGCAAUGGCAUGCACGUCACCACUCACCGUGUAAACUCCACCCUAUAACCGCGACGGAUUUUCCUCCCAAGGAAACAAAUAUUAAUUAUUAUUGCAAUUAAAAUCAGUAUUCAGUAUUCAGUGUGCCAUCGAACCCAGCGAAAAUUCCCUUUUUAAUCGCCACAUUUUUUUUAUAUAUUUUAUUUUCUGCAAAUUCCUUUCCUUUUCGGCCAAGAAACCGCAUAAUCCAGUACACGCACGCACCACCGUAGCAUACGAGGUGGCAUUGAACGUGUGAGUAGUGGGAACAGAUUCUGUUGCGAUCCACGCCUUAUUCAGCGUCCUUCUUUUCCAACCGCCAUAUUCUUCUGGCGAUUCAAUUUCGAACAAAACCUACGUUUGCGUCUCUCUCUCUGUCUCUCUGUGUCCACCGUCUCUCUUUUCACGACGUGACUGGUGGCACUAACGGCGCCAGAAACGCUGCGUUUUGAGCCCCAUGGGUAGCUGCCCCUGUUUCGGGUCGAGGAAGAAGAGCAAAGAGAAGAACGCCAAGGCUGGGGAAGAAGAAACCAAGAUUAGCAAAUCAGAGAAUAUUGAUGUCCUUCGAGCAUCUUCAGAUCUUAGACCAGAAGAUGACCCAACAGAGGAGGGUGACAACUCUAAAAAGGCUCAGAUAUUUACCUUCCGAGAGCUUGCAACAGCAACAAAAAAUUUUAGGGAUGAAACCUUUAUUGGCCAAGGUGGAUUUGGCAUUGUUUACAAAGGAACGAUAGCAAAAAUAAAUCAGGUUGUAGCUGUUAAGAGACUUGAUACUACCGGUGUUCAAGGGGAGAAAGAAUUUCUGGUGGAAGUUCUCAUGCUUUCUCUUCUACGCCAUUCCAACCUUGUUAAUAUGAUUGGUUACUGUGCUGAAGGGGAUCAACGUCUUCUAGUGUAUGAGUACAUGCCUUUGGGAUCUUUGGAAUCUCAUCUUCAUGAUAUUCCACCUGAUGAAGACCCACUUGAUUGGAAUACCAGAAUGAUGAUAGCUUGUGGAGCAGCAAAAGGACUAAAUUAUCUUCACAAUGAAGCAAAGCCUUCUGUUAUAUACAGGGAUCUAAAAUCAUCCAACAUACUGUUGGAUGAAGCUUUCUUUCCAAAACUUUCUGAUUUUGGGCUUGCAAAAUUUGGUCCAACUGGAGAUCAAUCAUAUGUUGCCACUAGGGUCAUGGGAACACAAGGUUACUGUGCCCCUGAAUAUGCCACUAGUGGAAAAUUAACAAUGAGAUCUGACAUUUACAGUUUUGGGGUUGUGUUGUUAGAAAUAAUUACUGGACGCAGAGCAUAUGAUGAUAACCGUGACACUGAAAAGCAUCUUGUAGACUGGGCACGCCCAAUGUUUAGAGACAAAAAGUAUUUUCCAAGAUUGGCAGAUCCAAGGUUGAAAGGUCACUACUCAGGAUCUUAUCUAUCAAUGGCCGUUGAAUUGACAGCCAUGUGUCUUCGAGAAGAGCCACGUCAUCGACCUAAUGCAAGUGAUAUAGUGGAAGCUCUAGAGUUCUUGUCAUCCAAACAAUAUACCCCAAAAAAGUCCAACACAACAGAGAUAGCGGGUGGAGAAUCCCCAACCGAAAUAUCUGCCAUUUUGCCUAAAGAAUCACAAAGAGAGCGAGCUGUUGCUGAGGCUAAGCUGUGGGGGGAGACAUGGAGGCAGAGACGACAAAGUGAGCAAAGUAGUCCAGAGGAAGCAAAUAGGAGGAAGAAGAAAGAAGACCUAUGAUGCAGAUUAGAAGUGGCUGGUGUCUAAAAAGAAAGAGCUCUACAAGUUAAGAUCGGGACAGGUAUGCAUACCAUAAAAGCACGUCGAGUUUAUGAUUCAAUCUUCUCUUGAAGGAGCGUUCAUUCAAAUAGGAGGUGAAGGUGAAGAAAAUCAAAAAUGGAAGAGAAGGAGAUGGAGGCAUCACUUCUUGAAGAAUACAAGCCUAAAUGUUGCUUUGCCAUAAAAGUUCCUUAGUGAGAGUGCUAUUGGAGUCAUACUUGAGAGAGAAUUCAAGAGACUUUUGAGAGAAAAAUUGAAAUUUUCAUUCAACAAUUCAUCAAAAGUGAUUAAAAGAGGUGAGAAGGAGACUUAUGUGGAUUGGUUUGUGAUGCAAGCUAACCAAAUCACAAUCAAAUUGACCAUAGUUAGGUUAGCUUGUAGGGCAAGUUGACUUAACUCUAGUUAGCCUACCUAACCAUAAUUUAGUAAUCCUAAACAUAGUUUACAUCUUCCCUCAAUCAAGUCUAGAUAUAUUAGUUAUGAAGAAAGUGUCACUAAGCAUGGAAAGUAUGA